GCACCAAGGGCUAACCUAUUGUGUGUUGUCUCGUGGUGUGCAGCUACUUCCUGUGCUACGAGGACGUCCCUGAGGAGCCUGCUGAGGGGGGCGAUGGAGAGGGUAAAGGGGAGACGGUUGCUAUAGGCAACGUGGUCAGGAUGUGGUCAAUCGGUCAGUGGGUCCAAACGCAGCCUGAACCUGUGACAGACGACAUCUACGAAUGGGUGCUGUGCUGGGUUCCACAGGCUCAGUACCACAGGCUUUUGUGUCUGGGAGGAGAGGAGCCCACUGCCUGCAGUGCUACUGACUGUCUACUGGGGGCGUUGUUCUCUCAACAGAGCCCAGUGGAAAGCCCCAGUCCUGAAACAACAUAAAGAGACAAGCCACUUUUCUAGAACUAUCUUUGACCAUAACAUGUUCCCAUUGAUUAAAGGAUUUAACAUUACUUAUUGUUAGUUUUACAUUGUGUUAUGUUCGGCUAAUGUUUCCAAAUCUAAGUAACUAUUGGGAAGGACAUUAAGGACUGAACACUGAAAUAGCUCUGGUUCCAACUAGCCAGUCAUCCAUGACAAAUGUUUUUCUUAUGGUUCCUUACAUAUUGUAUAAAAAUAAAUAUAAUUUCUAAAGAUAGCAAGUUUUAUUACCAAUUCCCUACCAGCUAGUGAUACAUUUGAACUGUAUCUGAUGUCUGUUCAUAUUCAAGGUUAUAUUGAGCACGUAUGUAUGUUACUGUAUUGUGUGGUUGUUGGAAAUCAUUUUGUAUGAUGUUAAGAAUAAAAGUAUUGACCUGUCA